UCACUUACCAAGAAUAAUAAUUUAUUAAAACAAGCAUAAAUUCACAAUUCCAUGUUUAUAGACCCUUAAACAUGGCAAUUUUGCCUUUUCGCAAAAAUUUCCGUCGUGCUUAAAUUUGCUUCGAGGCCUGUGACUCAGAAACGCGAGCGUAAACAAACAUAGAUUAUAUUACAAUUUGCCGUUAUAACACUUACUAAAAUGAUAAUUUUUGCUAGAAAAGUUCGUUUGUUUAGCUCAAAAUCGUCUUCCAGUGCUGACAAAUGUUCAUAUACGAUUACGCAAAUAUAUAAAACCGUUGUUAAAAGUACAAAACAACUUCAGAAUCAAAUUUGAAAGUGAGCCUUCCUAAAUGUUGUUAUGUCGUCGAACAUUGUCGAGCAUGAAAAAGUUAGCAUACACCAUAGAUAUCUUAUAUACACUAGAUAGUGCAUCUAAUUAUUCUGCAAUUCAAAAUUUGAAGCCGUGAUUGCAGUCUCAGGUCGUUCCCAUGAAAUGAGAGAAGAUUCGUAUAUUUCCUAUUUCUUAAACAGGGAACUUAAACAUUAAGUUAAACCUAUGCCAAAUACAUUUUUAAAGUAUUCAAAUGAUGAAAGUUAUUCUUGUUUUUAAGCGUUUAUUAGCGAGUGGGAACGACCAACAUGGCCGCCAUCUAUUCAAAUGGGGGUAACCGCUGGAAUAUUCUUGGCUUCAAUUUUACUAAAAGAGAUGCGUUAUCUAAUGUAUAUAUAAGAUAUCUAUGGCAUACACUGACGAGGUAUGAUUUAAAGAAUACGUUUGAAAGCUAGAAGAAUAUAACAGGGAUAUGUAAAUGAAUUAUUUUUAGGUGGGCAUAAUCGUGUUAGUUCUUGGUAAGUAAAUCGAAUAUUUUCUAUUUGUAAAUAUCAUGUGAUAGUCACAUUUGGCAAUUAGCAUUCUGAGACUGCGAGUAAACAAACGAAAAAUUAUGUGUGUAUUUUAAAUUCAGUAGCUUAACCAGCAUUGCCACAACAGAAAGAAAUUACAUCGACCGAAGAACGAAUUAGCGAUUUUAAAACGAACAACUAGAACGAACAACUGCAUUAUCUGAUGUUUUAUGUUUGGUGAUAAAUCGGUUCCAUAUAUCAUGUGGACAGUUUAUUUGAUAAACGUAAAGGGAAUAUCUUUAAUCAUUAUAUCAAUAAGUCUUGUUUUCUAUAAAAUAAAUGUAUUAGCCUAAUCGUUCAUGCAUUGUGUUGAAUUAAUGUCCAUGGUUAAAUGUCUUGCAUGGAAAAAUUUCCAGAAAUCUUUGUUAAUAUAUGUACUUGACCAGGAUUUCCUUAAGAUGGUGAAACCAGGUGAAACCAGAUAUAGUUUUGAAGAGAGAACUGCUUGAAAUUAUCCUCGCUUUUUUAGUAGAUUCAAAUAAUAACAUACCUAAAACUAGUUCUUGAAAUAGGAAUUGAAAUACUCAUUUCAGGGACUAAAUUCCUUGUUAAGAAAUAUAUUCUUGCCAAGAAUUUCAACUCGUGGUAAGUAAAACUUUCUCACUAUACGUAUACGGACAAGUAUUUUCUGACUAGAUUUAAGUGAUACAGCAUUUGCAUUCAUUUAAACAAAAGAGAAGCACAGUAGAAUGAUUGGUAUAUCAA